UUUAUUUUUUUCUCUUUACACAUGAGCAAACAGGUCAGAACCCGUUAUUUAUUUGAUGCAUUUCACGUCCUUCUCUAAUAUGUUGGGCUGAGAACUGUUUACAAUCUCCAUUCACAGAUUCAAGGUUUGAAAUAAUUACCUAAAAAAGCCCAGAAUAUAUGACUUGCUCCAGAGAGAUUCCUGAGGAGUUAAUCACAGUUCUCAGCAUUCAGGACUCUGGCUGGCCAUGGUUUCUGUGGUAUUAUUCUGCUCCUGACGGGACAUGCUGAGUUCCUAGAAUCAGAUUUUCAGGGUGAAUAGUCAGUUACAAAUUCAAGAGGUGGGUGUAACAUGAACUCUCUAAUUUUCACCUCAAAGCAGUUGUUUAUCUGAAUCUUCCUUCUUGGAAACUCAAUCCCAAGCGUGUUCACCCACAACACCCACAAUGGCAAUCCUGGCAGGGUAACCACAUCCCAAACGCUCCAGCUGAGGCAAAUAUAGCAGAGAAAUACUUAGGGCUGAUACAGGAGCUGUUGUCUUUCAUGUCUUUCAGGGCAGUUCAUGCCCACUGAGUGACUGAAACAUGCAGGAUGGUAACACAACAACAGCUUUAUCCUCUCUGCUUGCAGCAAACACACAGGGUUUAUUCAUCAUAAACACGGGGCACAGAAAUGAUUUUAAAAUGAAACUUCAGUUCUAUCACCAGCAUGGCUGUUCCUGCCAAGGGUUCAGCCUGAGGUUUGUCUGCCAGAGAUCAGGUCUGAUGAAAUCUGCUGUUCCACCUUGGCAAGAAAAUACAGCCAAGGAUGUGACUUUGCAGGGAAGUUUCUUUAGAUGGUCUCUCUAUUUCAGCCUCUUGUCCCUACCCCUCAGCAGCCGAGUUUAUAGAACACCCUACAAGGCGAGACAAGAAGAAAUUGCCACAAAACAAAGCAUUAUUUUAUGUCUGCUGGGGGAUUAAAGCUUCCCAAUCAGGCUCCCAGCAUUACCACCCCCCUGGAUUUACAGAUAAGGAAUGUGUUGUCUCUUUUAAAACGUAAUUGCUGAUUCAGGCCCUUUGGACAGCUCUGAAAGAGCCUGGCCAGCCCUUGCAAACACACACCUUCCAGGACCUUGGGUUUAACCUGGUAGGUGCCUGCUGUGUGUGGUGGCUGGGAAGGUGUGGGAUGGAGAGCAGGAAGGACCAUGUGGCAGCAGUGGGAGGCAGAGAGAGAAAAGGAUGGUGCCUGCAGGUGUGUGCGGAGACCAUCUGGAUUUAUAUGCACUGUUUUAUAUCAGGUAGACUUGAAUUCACAGGUAUUUUAACCAUAAGUUUAUUAAAUUCCAUGUGAUCUUGAGGAAAUGAAAUCUGAGAGUUUUAACUCACCGCCAUCUGUUGGCAUGGCCUCAACCCUUCCUUGACUUUUGGGUCUACAUUUACACCUAAGCUUUUAAAAAGGUCACUCCUUCUGGCUUCAGACUGAAAGGUCUGAACAAAAUUUUUUGUAGGUAGAUUGUCUGCCAAAAAAUGGUCUGACACUGGAUGGACAACUCUGAAGGUGUAAGUUGUCAUGUCCUGCCUCAGUUUCCCCAGCUGUGAAAGGAUGAUGAGAUAUAAAGAAUUUAAAGUUCCAGAUGAGUCUGAGUCCUACACCAAAGAAUCUCUGUUUGAUUUUUACCUUCUACCCAAAAGAGAAGCCAAAAUGACUGAUGGUUACGAGGAGAGUGUGGAUGACACUGACCCCAUGCAGCUCCUGGAUCUACCUGAGAAAGAGAAACCUGAGGCCAUGAACAAGCCCUGGGACUGAUUUUUCCUUCUGGGUGAAGAGAAAGGGUUUCCUUGUUAACAGCAAAUGGCAAAACACCAGAAUGUUUGAA